rnacentral:rRNA from 1 species
CCCUUAGAUGUCCUGGGCCGCACGCGCGUUACACUGAUGCAUUCAACGAGCUUAUAACCUUGGCCGAGAGGCCUGGGCAAUCUUGUUAACGUGCAUCGUGAUAGGGAUAGAUUAUUGAAAUUAUUAAUCUUGAACGAGGAAUUCCUAGUAAACGCAGAUCAUCAAUCUGCAUUGAUUACGUCCCUGCCCUUUGUACACACCGCCCGUCGCACCUACCGAUUGGAUGGUCCGGUGAAGCCUCGGGAUUGUGGUUCUUGCCGCUUUAUUGUGGCGUGACCGCGAGAACUUGUCUAAACCUUAUCAUCUAGAGGAAGGUGAAGUCGUUACA